AUUGAACGCUGGCGGCAGGCUUAACACAUGCAAGUCGAGCGGGGUGAUGGUGCUUGCACUAUCACUUAGCGGCGGACGGGUGAGUAAUGCUUAGGAAUCUGCCUAUUAGUGGGGGACAACAUCUCGAAAGGGAUGCUAAUACCGCAUACGUCCUACGGGAGAAAGCAGGGGAUCACUUGUGACCUUGCGCUAAUAGAUGAGCCUAAGUCGGAUUAGCUAGUUGGUGGGGUAAAGGCCUACCAAGGCGACGAUCUGUAGCGGGUCUGAGAGGAUGAUCCGCCACACUGGGACUGAGACACGGCCCGGACUCCUACGGGAGGCAGCAGUGGGGAAUAUUGGACAAUGGGGGGAACCCUGAUCCAGCCAUGCCGCGUGUGCGAAGAAGGCCUUAUGGUUGUAAAGCACUUUAAGCGAGGAGGAGGCUCUUUUGGUUAAUACCCAAGAUGAGUGGACGUUACUCGCAGAAUAAGCACCGGCUAACUCUGUGCCAGCAGCCGCCGUAA
rnacentral:rRNA from 1 species